AUUGAACGCUGGCGGCAGGCUUAACACAUGCAAGUCGAGCGGAGAGAGGUAGCUUGCUACUGAUCUUAGCGGCGGACGGGUGAGUAAUGCUUAGGAAUCUGCCUAUUAGUGGGGGACAACAUUUCGAAAGGAAUGCUAAUACCGCAUACGUCCUACGGGAGAAAGCAGGGGAUCUUCGGACCUUGCGCUAAUAGAGGAGCCUAAGUCGGAUUAGCUAGUUGGUGGGGUAAAGGCCUACCAAGGCGACGAUCUGUAGCGGGUCUGAGAGGAUGAUCCGCCACACUGGGACUGAGACGCGGCCCAGACUCCUACGGGAGGCAGCAGUGGGGAAUAUGGAGCAAUGGGCGCAAGCCUGAUCCAGCCAGGCCGCGUGUGUGAAGAAGGCCUUAUGGUUGUAAAGCACUGUAAGCGAGGAGGAGGCUACUUUAGUUAAUACCUAGAGAUAGUGGACGUUACUCGCAGAAUAAGCACCGGCUAACUCUGUGCCAGCCGCCGCCGUAA
rnacentral:rRNA from 1 species